UACGUAGGGUGCGAGCGUUAAUCGGAAUUACUGGGCGUAAAGCGUGCGCAGGCGGUGAUGUAAGACAGAUGUGAAAUCCCCGGGCUCAACCUGGGAACUGCCUUUGUGACUGCAAGGCUUGAGUGCGGCAGAGGGGGAUGGAAUUCCGCGUGUAGCAGUGAAAUGCGUAGAUAUGCGGAGGAACACCGAUGGCGAAGGCAAUCCCCUGGGCCUGCACUGACGCUCAUGCACGAAAGCGUGGGGAGCAAACAGG
rnacentral:rRNA from 1 species